rnacentral:rRNA from 1 species
GAUGAACGCUGGCGGCGUGCCUAAUACAUGCAAGUCGAGCGAACAGAUAAGGAGCUUGCUCCUUUGACGUUAGCGGCGGACGGGUGAGUUACACGUGGAUAACCUACCUAUAAGACUGGGAUAACUUCGGGAAACCGGAGCUAAUACCGGAUAACAUAUUGAACCGCAUGGUUCAAUAGUGAAAGGCGGCUUUGCUGUCACUUAUAGAUGGAUCCGCGCCGUAUUAGCUAGUUGGUAAGGUAACGGCUUACCAAGGUAACGAUACGUAGCCGACCUGAGAGGGUGAUCGGCCACACUGGAACUGAGACACGGUCCAGACUCCUACGGGAGGCAGCAGUAGGGAAUCUUCCGCAAUGGGCGAAAGCCUGACGGAGCAACGCCGCGUGAGUGAUGAAGGUCUUCGGAUCGUAAAACUCUGUUAUCAGGGAAGAACAAAUGUGUAAGUAACUGUGCACAUCUUGACGGUACCUGAUCAGAAAGCCACGGCUAACUACGUG